CAGUAGCCGCGGUAAUACGGAAGAUCCAAGCGUUAUCCGGAAUUAUUGGGCGUAAAGAGCUCGUAGGCGGUCUGUCGCGUCUGCCGUGAAAGUCCGGGGCUCAACCCCGGAUCUGCGGUGGGUACGGGCAGACUAGAGUGAUGUAGGGGAGACUGGAAUUCCUGGUGUAGCGGUGAAAUGCGCAGAUAUCAGGAGGAACACCGAUGGCGAAGGCAGGUCUCUGGGCAUUAACUGACGCUGAGGAGCGAAAGCAUGGGGAGCGAACAGGAUUAGAUACCCCUGUAGUCCCUGUCUCUUAUAC
rnacentral:rRNA from 1 species